GAUGAACGCUGGCGGCGUGCCUAAUACAUGCAAGUCGAGCGAACGGACGAGAAGCUUGCUUUUCUGAUGUUAGCGGCGGACGGGUGAGUAACACGUGGAUAACCUACCUAUAAGACUGGGAUAACUUCGGGAAACCGGAGCUAAUACCGGAUAAUAUUUUGAACCGCAUGGUUCAAAAGUGAAAGACGGUCUUGCUGUCACUUAUAGAUGGAUCCGCGCUGCAUUAGCUAGUUGGUAAGGUAACGGCUUACCAAGGCAACGAUGCAUAGCCGACCUGAGAGGGUGAUCGGCCACACUGGAACUGAGACACGGUCCAGACUCCUACGGGAGGCAGCAGUGGGGAAUCUUCCGCAAUGGGCGAAAGCCUGACGGAGCAACACCGCGUGAGUGAUGAAGGUCUUCGGAUCGUAAAACUCUGUUAUUAGGGAAGAACAUAUGUGUAAGUAACUGUGCACAUCUUGACGGUACCUAAUCAGAAAGCCACGGCUAACUACGUG
rnacentral:rRNA from 1 species